AUCCCCGUGAGAAUGCCCCUAAAAUCCUGCCCGGAAACGAGGAGCAGACAUCAGGCACGCCCCCGCAGCCCAAGACGUCUUGCUUAGCCACACCCCUAAGGGAAUUCAGCAGUAAUAAACUUUAGACCAUGAGUGAAAACUUGAUCUAGUUAUGGUUGUAAGAGGGCCGGUAAAACUCGUGCCAGCCACCGCGGUCAUACGAGUGUUAGCCCAAGUGGAUGGUCAACGGCGUAAAGAGUGGUUAGGGACCCCCUAAAACUAAAGCUGAACGCCCGCAGGGCCGUUAUACGCACCCGAGAGCAUGAAACCCCACCACGAAGGUGGCUUUAACCUGACCCGAACCCACGAAAGCUAGGGCACAAACUGGGAUUAGAUACCCCACUAUGCCUAGCCGUAAACCUUAAUAGAAAAUACACACCUUCUAUUCGCCAGGGUACUACGAGCAUCAGCUUAAAACCCAAAGGACUUGGCGGUGCUUUAGACCCACCUAGAGGAGCCUGUCCUAGAACCGAUAUCCCCCGUUCAACCUCACCACUUCUAGCCCAACCCGCCUAUAUACCACCGUCGUCAGCUUACCCCGUGAGGGACUAAUAGUAAGCUAAACCGGCACAGCCCAAAACGUCAGGUCGAGGUGUAGCGCACGAAGUGCGGAAGAGAUGGGCUACAUUUUCUGACCCAGAAAACUACGGAAGGAAAAAAUGAAAAGAUUCCUAAAGGAGGAUUUAGCAGUAAGUGGGGAAUAGAGCGCCCCUCUGAAACAGGCCCUUAAGCGCGCACACACCGCCCGUCACUCUCCCCGAGUCCUUACCUCCUAUUAACUUAUACCGUCAAAUGGAUAAAGGGGAGGCAAGUCGUAACAUGGUAAGUGUACCGGAAGGUGCACUUGGACAACA
rnacentral:ncRNA from 1 species